rnacentral:rRNA from 1 species
AGUCUUAACUGGGCGUUAAGUUGCAGGGUAUAGACCCGAAACCCGGUGAUCUAGCCAUGGGCAGGUUGAAGGUUGGGUAACACUAACUGGAGGACCGAACCGACUAAUGUUGAAAAAUUAGCGGAUGACUUGUGGCUGGGGGUGAAAGGCCAAUCAAACCGGGAGAUAGCUGGUUCUCCCCGAAAGCUAUUUAGGUAGCGCCUCGUGAAUUCAUCUCCGGGGGUAGAGCACUGUUUCGGCAAGGGGGUCAUCCCGACUUACCAACCCGAUGCAAACUGCGAAUACCGGAGAAUGUUAUCACGGGAGACACACGGCGGGUGCUAACGUCCGUCGUGAAGAGGGAAACAACCCAGACCGCCAGCUAAGGUCCCAAAGUCAUGGUUAAGUGGGAAACGAUGUGGGAAGGCCCAGACAGCCAGGAUGUUGGCUUAGAAGCAGCCAUCAUUUAAAGAAAGCGUAAUAGCUCACUGGUCGAGUCGGCCUGCGCGGAAGAUGUAACGGGGCUAAACCAUGCACCGAAGCUGCGGCAGCGACGCUGAUGCGUUGUUGGGUAGGGGAGCGUUCUGUAAGCCUGUGAAGGUGUGCUGUGAGGCAUGCUGGAGGUAUCAGAAGUGCGAAUGCUGACAUAAGUAACGAUAAAGCGGGUGAAAAGCCCGCUCGCCGGAAGACCAAGGGUUCCUGUCCAACGUUAAUCGGGGCAGGGUGAGUCGACCCCUAAGGCGAGGCCGAAAGGCGUAGUCGAUGGGAAACAGGUUAAUAUUCCUGUACUUGGUGUUACUGCGAAGGGGGGACGGAGAAGGCUAUGUUGGCCGGGCGACGGUUGUCCCGGUUUAAGCGUGUAGGCUGGUUUUCCAGGCAAAUCCGGAAAACUAAGGCUGAGGCGUGAUGACGAGGCACUACGGUGCUGAAGCAACAAAUGCCCUGCUUCCAGGAAAAGCCUCUAAGCAUCAGGUAACAUCAAAUCGUACCCCAAACCGACACAGGUGGUCAGGUAGAGAAUACCAAGGCGCUUGAGAGAACUCGGGUGAAGGAACUAGGCAAAAUGGUGCCGUAACUUCGGGAGAAGGCACGCUGAUAUGUAGGUGAAGUCCCUCGCGGAUGGAGCUGAAAUCAGUCGAAGAUACCAGCUGGCUGCAACUGUUUAUUAAAAACACAGCACUGUGCAAACACGAAAGUGGACGUAUACGGUGUGACGCCUGCCCGGUGCCGGAAGGUUAAUUGAUGGGGUCAGCGCAAGCGAAGCUCUUGAUCGAAGCCCCGGUAAACGGCGGCCGUAACUAUAACGGUCCUAAGGUAGCGAAAUUCCUUGUCGGGUAAGUUCCGACCUGCACGAAUGGCGUAAUGAUGGCCAGGCUGUCUCCACCCGAGACUCAGUGAAAUUGAACUCGCUGUGAAGAUGCAGUGUACCCGCGGCAAGACGGAAAGACCCCGUGAACCUUUACUAUAGCUUGACACUGAACAUUGAGCCUUGAUGUGUAGGAUAGGUGGGAGGCUUUGAAGUGUGGACGCCAGUCUGCAUGGAGCCGACCUUGAAAUACCACCCUUUAAUGUUUGAUGUUCUAACGUUGACCCGUAAUCCGGGUUGCGGACAGUGUCUGGUGGGUAGUUUGACUGGGGCGGUCUCCUCCUAAAGAGUAACGGAGGAGCACGAAGGUUGGCUAAUCCUGGUCGGACAUCAGGAGGUUAGUGCAAUGGCAUAAGCCAGCUUGACUGCGAGCGUGACGGCGCGAGCAGGUGCGAAAGCAGGUCAUAGUGAUCCGGUGGUUCUGAAUGGAAGGGCCAUCGCUCAACGGAUAAAAGGUACUCCGGGGAUAACAGGCUGAUACCGCCCAGGAGUUCAUAUCGACGGCGGUGUUUGGCACCUCGAUGUCGGCUCAUCACAUCCUGGGGCUGAAGUAGGUCCCAAGGGUAUGGCUGUUCGCCAUUUAAAGUGGUACGCGAGCUGGGUUUAGAACGUCGUGAGACAGUUCGGUCCCUAUCUGCCGUGGGCGCUGGAGAACUGAGGGGGGCUGCUCCUAGUACGAGAGGACCGGAGUGGACGCAUCACUGGUGUUCGGGUUGUCAUGCCAAUGGCACUGCCCGGUAGCUAAAUGCGGAAGAGAUAAGUGCUGAAAGCAUCUAAGCACGAAACUUGCCCCGAGAUGAGUUCUCCCUGACUCCUUGAGAGUCCUGAAGGAACGUUGAAGACGACGACGUUGAUAGGCCGGGUGUGUAAGCGCAGCGAUGCGUUGAGCUAACCGGUACUAAUGAACCGUGAGGCUUAACCU